UGGGGAAUAUUGGACAAUGGGCGGAAGCCUGAUCCAGCAACGCCGCGUGAGGGAUGACGGCCUUCGGGUUGUAAACCUCUUUCAGUACCGACGAAGCGAAAGUGACGGUAGGUACAGAAGAAGGACCGGCCAACUACGUGCCAGCAGCCGCGGUAAUACGUAGGGUCCGAGCGUUGUCCGGAAUUAUUGGGCGUAAAGGGCUCGUAGGCGGUUUGUCGCGUCGGGAGUGAAAACAGCGGGCUUAACUCGUUGCUUGCUUUCGAUACGGGCAGACUAGAGGUAUGCAGGGGAGAAUGGAAUUCCUGGUGUAGCGGUGAAAUGCGCAGAUAUCAGGAGGAACACCGGUGGCGAAGGCGGUUCUCUGGGCAUUACCUGACGCUGAGGAGCGAAAGUGUGGGGAGCGAACAGGAUUAGAUACCCUGGUAGUCCACACCGUAAACGUUGGGCGCUAGGUGUGGGGUCCUUUCCACGGAUUCCGUGCCGUAGCUAACGCAUUAAGCGCCCCGCCUGGGGGAGUACGG
rnacentral:rRNA from 1 species